rnacentral:rRNA from 1 species
ACGAACGCUGGCGGCGUGCUUAACACAUGCAAGUCGAGCGGUAAGGCCCUUUCGGGGGUACACGAGCGGCGAACGGGUGAGUAACACGUGGGUGACCUGCCCUCAGCUCUGGGAUAAGCCUGGGAAACUGGGUCUAAUACUGGAUAUGACUCCACGGUGCAUGUCGUGGGGUGGAAAGCCUUGUGCGGCUGAGGAUGGGCCCGCGGCCUAUCAGCUUGUUGGUGGGGUGAUGGCCUACCAAGGCGACGACGGGUAGCCGGCCUGAGAGGGCGACCGGCCACACUGGGACUGAGAUACGGCCCAGACUCCUACGGGAGGCAGCAGUGGGGAAUCUUGCGCAAUGGGCGAAAGCCUGACGCAGCGACGCCGCGUGAGGGAUGACGGCCU